UACAGAGGUCCCGAGCGUUGUUCGGAUUCACUGGGCGUAAAGGGUGCGUAGGUGGUCUGGUAAGUUGGGUGUGAAAGCUCGGAGCUCAACUCCGAAAUGGCAUUCAAAACUACCGGGCUAGAGGGUCGGAAGGGAGACUGGAAUUCUCGGUGUAGCGGUGAAAUGCGUAGAUAUCGAGAGGAACACCAGUGGCGAAAGCGAGUCUCUGGACGACACCUGACACUGAGGCACGAAAGCUAGGGGAGCAAACAGG
rnacentral:rRNA from 1 species